GCAGUUCUAUCUGGACAAAGAAAAUGUCUUCUGCUCGUGGCUGAGCUGUUGGCAGAGCUUGAAGGGAUGAAGGGCUGUUGCCAUUGCCUUCAGGGACAUUCUGCCAUGUAGAAAGGCUGGAGGAAUAAUUCUCUGAUGAAUGAAGAUCUGGUGGGUGGACUAAGGACAGCAAGUCAUUUUAGACUAGGCUUCCUUUUUAUCAAAGUCCAAGAGGCCUGCCAAAUUAACAAAAUGAUGCUCUUUACCAUCUAGAGUGGCCAGCAGCCUUUGUAAAUAAAGCUAUAUCGUGGAGCUUCACAAGUCCACCAUUACCAGGGUUGGUAGGCAAGAGUACCAGUUGACUUUUGAUGGCCCUGAACAAGCAACAUGCAACUGUUGGCCAAAUAACUUGCUGCUGCAGCUUAUAGAAAGCCUUGUAUUAAAGUCUUUCUAUUAUUAUUUUACUAUUUUUAAAAGAAUAAUGCCUUUCCAAAC